GAAAAAAGGGCUGGAAAGAAAGUAAAAGUUAACAUCUCAGAAUUGAGUGGAAGAAUAAUUGGAGAAGGUGCUCAAAAGUUUAUCUCAAAGGUGCUCGAAAGUUUAUCUCAGAGAAACAAUGCUGAAACUCACUAAUAAUAGUUUCACUCAUGAUGAACGUCAACAUAUUAAGUCAGCAUUGCUUAAGCAACUAAAUUCACAAUACCAAAGUCGGCAUUAUACAUUUGAUAAGAUCUUCAAACAAUCUGGGACAAUGGAGGAAGCACUGGCAAAUCAUCUUGCAUAUGUGGUAGAAAAUGAUUGGAGUUUCCUUUGUCACUACUUUUGCAGUCCUGAAUUUAAGAUAAAUGCUCUUUAAACAAAAUUUUGGGAGCUGUCUAUAGCAAUGACUGAAGAACGUUGAAGACAAAGUCGCAAUUUGCUCAUGCAAGGGUUUGCUUGGAUGUUCUUUGGUUUCUUGAACUUAAUUCCUUUUGUAAACGUACCUUAUGAAUAUGUGAUACUUGGGCACAAUGUUACUUUUGUAGACCUUUGUUGGGUAAUGCGCACCUCAAUAUGACAUUUGAGUACUUAAUAUGCUAUAUUGGCAUGUAGCCUA